rnacentral:misc_RNA from 1 species
UGGACUACCGGGGUAUCUAAUCCUGUUUGAUCCCCGCACCUUCGAGCCUCAGCGUCAGUGUGACUGCAGCAGACUGCCUUCGCAAUCGGUAUUCCUCCUGAUAUCUAAGCAUUUCACCGCUACAUCAGGAAUUCUAUCUGCCUUCUGUCAACUCAAGCUAACCAGUAUCAACGGCAUGUAAAACAGUUAAGCUGCUACCUUUCACCGCUGACUUAAUCAGCCGCCUACGCUCCCUUUAAACCCAAUAAAUCCGGAUAACGCUCGCCACCUACGUAUUACCGCGGCUGCUGGCACU